GCCUUCGUGGUGUAGUGGUCAGCACGCUCGACGCAUAACUGAGAGUCCAUGGUUGGAUUCCCGGCGAAGGCG
rnacentral:tRNA from 1 species